UCUCCGUUGGUGAACCAGCGGAGGGAUCAUUAUUGAGUUCUAAAAAACUCCCAAACCCCUGUGAACAUCACCUAUUGUUGCUUCGGCGGAAUCGUCCCAGCGUCCUUGUGGCCUGGAAUCAGGCGUCCGCCGAGGGAAACCAAACUCUUGUUUUUUUCAGUAUCUUUUGAGUGGCAUAAAGCAAAAAUAAAUCAAAACUUUCAACAACGGAUCUCUUGGUUCUG
rnacentral:misc_RNA from 1 species